ACCACGAUCUAAACUGGAAACACUUCCGGGAAAAAAACAUCAAAAUGCUGAAGCAGACAUUGCUAUGUCAAAGCACAGUGUAAGGAAAGUACAUUCUAAAAAAAUGCAGAACGGUUCAAAUCAUUCCACUUCUUCGGGGUCAGAAAAGAAGAAAUCAAGUCAUUUGGUAAACACUGUUCUUCAGAAUCCAGGAAGUGAAAUUAAGAAGGUAAAACAUAGUUUAAAGAAAACGUCCAGCCCUAUAUUGGAAAAACCAGUUCAGUCUGAGGUUGACACUGAGAGAAAAAGGCAAAGUCAUGACAAAUCAUCAAGCAUCGCAUCUGAUGAACCAUUGAAAAAUUCAGAAGGGACAGUUGAAAAUUCUACUAAUGUGGCCCCA
rnacentral:misc_RNA from 1 species